rnacentral:rRNA from 1 species
UAAUACGUAGGGUGCGAGCGUUAAUCGGAAUUACUGGGCGUAAAGCGUGCGCAGGCGGUUUGUUAAGCCAGAUGUGAAAUCCCCGGGCUCAACCUGGGAACUGCGUUUGGAACUGGCAAGCUAGAGUACGGCAGAGGGGGGUGGAAUUCCACGUGUAGCAGUGAAAUGCGUAGAUAUGUGGAGGAACACCGAUGGCGAAGGCAGCCCCCUGGGUCGAUACUGACGCUCAGGCACGAAAGCGUGGGGAGCAAACAGGAUUAGAUACCCUGGUAGUCCACGCCCUAAACGAUGCGAACUAGUCGUUGGAGUAGCAAUACUUUAGUGACGCAGCUAACGCGUGAAGUUCGCCGCCUGGGGAGUACGGUCGCAAGAUUA